CUAUACGCUUGGUGUACUUGGUUAUCGUGACUGGCGACUUGAGUCUAUCUCAUCUCAUUUCCAAAGCGCGGUGGCUGGGUCCCAGGCAUGCUUGCCACUUUGUUCCACGGUCCUCAUCUAAGUUUCGACGGUGAUGACAUGGACUUAGGUUCAAGGAACGUGAUCCCCUUGAGUCAUUGUGGUUGAUUGAUGGGGGCAAUAGACGGUUGCGUGUCGCUAGUCAUUCAAUUGGUCCCCUUGUUUUAGAGUGUUGGCGGGAUAAGUCUUACGACUGUUAACAAUAGUAAGCAAUAGCCGGCCGGCGACCCCCUACCUGAUCUCGAGGGGGAUGGAAUGACUGGGGAAUAGGCCUGUUGUUAACCUGCGGAAUUUCGUCGGACGAAAUGUCAGGCGUGUCCGUGUGGGACUUGUGCUAAACCAGUUUAGUACAUAUGACGAAGACAUUGGGCUCUUUGAAUAACAACAGUGUCCUUGACCUCCUUGUGCCUCACAAAGCUAAUGAUAUACACCCCCUGAAAUCGACAAGACGGCGAUGAAGAAGGAGAGCCGGCCUCCAGCUUGUCAGCCGAGAAGACACUGGAUGGACCCCAAGGAUAUGUUGCUGCCAAUGUUGGAGCCAUACAGGGCAGCCCGAACCAACAUUGUACAAGGGCCACAAGGACAAGGGACAGAAGAAUAAGGGACACAAAAGCCGAUGUUGCAGUCUACAGGGCUAUGCAGAUGACUGGAGAUGAUGGCUGUUGAGUUGACCCAAUGACUUCCACCACGAUCUACGAUGCGUACUGAAGCAAGAACGACGCUCAAAGACCCGAAAAACAACAGAUGUCAACACUUUGCCCCAUGAUAAGAUGCCUUCAUACUCAUCCAUCAACAAUUUGGGGAAGACAGCCUAAUUGACCUUCAUGGGGAUCUUCCUGGCAGAUGUUGUAUGAGGAAGGAUUCAAUGCGUAUACACCAUGCUUGGAUGAGGGUCUGAGAGUCGGGUAGAUUCAAUGGAUGGAAUCAUUUCGCUCAGGGAUAUCGGCAGUGGACACUUACAUCGUGUGUCAUUCGAAUAGACUUGACAAUCGAAAUGAUGCUCUAAGGGGACUCUGAUGACUCUAAGGACAUAGAGCCCUUCUCAUGAUGUAAUGUGACGCCAUAUCCAGCAGCCAUCGUGGAGCCAGCUCAUCUCUUACAUAUGGAAGGAUGCCAUCUCAUACGGAGAUGAGCCAUCCCACAGAAGGGAGGAUGUUGCUGAGCCAGCGCAUCUCUACCAUGCUCCCGUUGCCGUCAAGGAGGUUGGAUUUUUGUCACCGUAGGCCUUACCCUUUUAUUGCAAUAUAUGAUUGAAGGUGAUUCGAUAAAAAUCCUGAUACUUUAUUUUCUGAUUGCGAGAAGGCAAUUAUUUGCCUUCUUUUGGGCAAUGACAAACCUUUGCCAUGGCCCAAAUUCGUACACAUUUAAAGAAGAGUUUAGAAAAUUUGGGGGAGGGUGUCAUAAGGUAACCAGGGGAAUCCGGGCACGUCACAAGUCACAAGCCAGAAAAAUCAAAAUGUGGAGGGGAUGUCCUGGCUAACAGGACAGCCAACAGUUGGUACCCAAACAAAACAUUCGCCAUAGCGAACGGUACGGUACAUUGGGACCCUACCGGCUGCUUCAGAUUUGUUUCAAGCAAAAAGAUCUUUCUACUUGAAAAAUCACCGAAUUCAUCAUAUAUUGUAUUUGAUUAUGUCCAUCACAUGAGACAUGGGGUUCACAUGACAUUCGCUUUGCUCUAACCCCAGGCAAAGCGAAUGAACAUGUGUGUCUUGAUGGAGCUGUAGGCCUUUUUACUGUUUCUUGAUCUCUUCAGUACCACAGAAUCCACCGGCAUUUAAACACCACCUGGGCCCAGUCGCCAAAGAUCCUUCAUUGGCUGGCUCAGUUGCUCAGUGUCUUAACCUUCAUACUUUAGACAACUGACCAACAACACAAAUCUAGUGAAUUUUUAUUUCCUCGUCACUUUUUAAUCAAUACCCGUGAACGAAAAAAUCUCGGGAUGCAAAACAACUUUUCACCAAUUUAACUGAUAAGCUUUGUCAAUAAACCUAUUGUUUUAUUGAGAUUAUCGGAAUAAGACUGGUUCUUGAUCCUACCUAUAGCGGUCUCACAGGAAAGAAUCUUAGUCUUUUUCUUUGUUUCGAUUCAAGAAGACUUUCAUUGCAAGAGCAUAAUUAUCAUGUUCUGCAGGUUAUGAAAGAUAUCAUUUUGCCCCAUCAAGAACAUUUUUAUUGGACUUGGUACUGAAUGAUUUGAGAAAAGUGUAACGUCAAAAUGUAAGACGUUUUAUAUUGUCAUAUAAUGUUAUUAUAUUUGUAAUGCAUGUAAAUCUUGUAAGUAAAAUAAAAGAGAUCUAAGACUCAACUUGCAAAAAACCUGGCAGACCACAACAUUCAGUCUUGCCAGGUCAAAGCUAACCUGCUAGACCAACAUCCAGUCUUCCCAGGUCAAGGCUAACCUCUUUUGUCAUGCAAAUACAUGUCACCUAUGCUCCUUUUGUCAUGCUAAUUGGCAGCCUCUGUCCAGUUCCUGGCCAUGAGAAAUGUGGUUCUUUUGUUAUUCAAAUUGGGCCCUAAACCUGUUUAGUCAUGAAUUAAUGAGAGCAGUGACCUAACCUAUUGUUCACUGAACAUGGCUUAACAUAAGUCAUACACAAUAGGUUUUAAUACAUGUACAGUAGCUAAAGUUGUACAGAAUGUAUAUGGACAUGAUGAAUGCAUCCAGAGGUUAAGUGCUCAUUGUUGGAAUUUUGAGUCAUCUAGUGUAAGAUCUCUAUUCAGCAGUGUCUUUUUUGGACAUUUUAAAGGAGGAGAACAUGUGUGAUAGUACAAUUAUCUCCAUGUCUCGUCCUUUAAUGGGCAUUGGAGUGGCACAGUGACUAUGAUCGAUGUAAUGUACAUGUAUGAAGUCAUUAUGGUCGUAAGCGCUGUGCCUGUCACGUGUGUGAUGGAGUUGACGACUCCCUCCGAUUGCGUAGGUUUUCUCCCGUUGAAACGGUUUUCCUCCUACACUGACUUUCCAAGUUGUCAUGUGAGGAUAAUUCUUGGAAUGUGCAACA